CGGUUGGUCGUAGGUUCAUGAAAGUUUAAACCUGUGUGUUGGUGCUCCUGAUGUUGCACUUUUAAUAGGAUUAAUGCUUAAUAUUUUGUAUGUAGAAUUAAUGCUAAACUGGACUAAGAGAUGAUAUUUUGUAUGUAGAAUUAAUGCUAAACUGGACUAAGAGAUGAAUUUUUGGAGCAACAGUUUGAUGCUCAAUAUUGCUGUCACAUUAGGAGAUGAUUUGAUAAUGAAACUUGCACAACAAAUUCUACACUAUUGGAUUGCUAAAACUACAUUUCAUCUUACCUUUGGUGGUUUGGGUCCUUUGUGAUUAUUUUUGUUUUUUAUAAGCAGAAAGACUAGACGGAAGAGCCAUGGUGUUGUUAACCUGC
rnacentral:misc_RNA from 1 species